rnacentral:rRNA from 1 species
UAGGGAAUCUUCGGCAAUGGACGAAAGUCUGACCGAGCAACGCCGCGUGAGUGAAGAAGGCUUUCGGAUCGUAAAACUCUGUUGUUAGAGAAGAACAAGGACGUUAGUAACUGAACGUCCCCUGACGGUAUCUAACCAGAAAGCCACGGCUAACUACGUGCCAGCAGCCGCGGUAAUACGUAGGUGGCAAGCGUUGUCCGGAUUUAUUGGGCGUAAAGCGAGCGCAGGCGGUUUCUUAAGUCUGAUGUGAAAGCCCCCGGCUCAACCGGGGAGGGUCAUUGGAAACUGGGAGACUUGAGUGGAGAAGAGGGGAGUGGAAUUCCAUGUGUAGCGGUGAAAUGCGUAGAUAUAUGGAGGAACACCAGUGGCGAAGGCGGCUCUCUGGUCUGUAACUGACACUGAGGCUCGAAAGCGUGGGGAGCAAACAGG